UACGAAGGGGGCGAGCGUUGUUCGGAUUUACUGGGCGUAAAGGGCGCGUAGGCGGCGGGUCAAGUCGAGUGUGAAAGCCCCGGGCUCAACCUGGGAAUUGCGCUCGAGACUGGUCUGCUUGAGUUCGGGAGAGGAGCGUGGAAUUCCCAGUGUAGAGGUGAAAUUCGUAGAUAUUCGCAAGAACACCAGUGGCGAAGGCGGCUCACUGGCCCGGUACUGACGCUGAGGCACGAAAGCGUGGGGAGCAAACAGG
rnacentral:rRNA from 1 species